UGUUAUUUCCUGGCCCAAAGCGGCCUGCUAGAUCGUUUUACAUGUUGGAAUUUUGUACAAGACACCAUUCAGAUGGUGGUGGUGUUGGAGAGCAAGCUUCCUGCAUUCAACAGGAAACUGGUAACUGGACGCCUUCUUGCUUGCAUUGCAGACUCAAAUUUCAAAUACUUGACACCAUUUGUCGCCCUCAGCUAGAUGCCUCUUCCUUCUUGGCAACCUCAAGCGCCAAUGUUCGGCUGCAGACUUGCAAGCCCCGAGUAGUUGCCUGAUUGAUGGUCGCCCUUUCUCUGUGUGUUCAGCUAGACAUGUGGCUGUGUCAGCAGCGAGACAGGGUCUGGUGGAGGAGACACGGACAUCGUGCAGCCAGCCGGACCAAGUGUGUCUCAGCCCAGACAAAGCGGUCGAGCAAGGCGUGCCAACGUUCUGAUCAGUGGGCCAGAGUGGGCAUGAGCCAUAGCGUAUCGCAGCUGCGUCUGCGGGCUCACGCCGGGCAUGACGCCCAUGUAUAAGAACCUGAGACCCGUGAGGAAGAGGUCUUAACAAAUAUAUGAACAUGAACAAUGUUAAGAUUCGUCCUAGCUACCUUUCGUGUUCUGCUUCCCUUCCCAAUUCCCUGCUGAUCCUUCCCAAAACUCUACCGAUUUCUACUCCUUCUCUGCUGCUAGAUCUCUGAUGCUAACAUUUGGUACUCAGAGCCUAUCGAUCUAGAUCGGGAUUUUUUUUUUCUUUCGAUUCACAAACGGUCUUGGUUGGAUAACUUUCGGUGUCUCCUGGCGAUUUGCUGGUGGACGCGGAGAGCCUGUAAUUCCUUGACCCGUGAGCGAUUGAGAACCAUCACGAUCUGGAUCCACCGCCGCCAAUUCCACCACCACCGCCCCUACCACCCAAGCCGCCGAUUCGCCACCAAUAUUCGCGUCGGCACAAGCAGAGCACCUCACCCGCCGCCACCAUGAGCCCCGAUACUCAACUACUCCUCAACGAGAUCCAGAAGGUUUCCCUGGAGCAAGCCGCCAUCCAGCAGAAACUCGCCGAGCAGAAGGAUUUCCUCGAGCGGCGUUUCACCGAGGUGGAUGAUGCCAUGGACCAGCGUUUCAAGGAGGCCGAGUCUAUGGUGGAGCAGCGGAUCAUCGAUUCCGAGCUCCGCCAGGAUGUUCGUCUCCAAUCCAUCGAGACGACGGCCAGCGACAUGACCCAGUGGCGCCAGGAGCAGGAAGGCAUCGUCGACGACAUACGCCUUCGCCUCAGCAAGCUGGACAAGUACUGGACGCGCUCGGUUUUCGACACUGCUUCGCCCUUCACCGAGCCGGGCCUCUUCCCCGAGCCCCACUUCAGAUCGGAGCAGUACGCCGCCCCAACAUCUGCGCGCUAUCAGCCUGCUCGGCCAAUUGGGCACCGUGAAGAACUUCACCACCGGGAGGGUGAAUAUGGGUCGGUCACUGCCUAUGUUCACUCCCCGGUCACGGGUAUGGAUGAUCCCCCUGAUACUUCCGUUAAAAUUCAUGGCACAGCACGUGAUCUGAUCUCCUCUCGUAAUAGACCCCCUGAGCACCAUUACAAUCCCACUGGAAAGCUACCCAAAUUAUCCUUCCCCACUUUUGAUGGUACUGAUCUUAAACUUUGGAUCACUUGUGCUGAGGAUUAUUUCUUGAUGUAUUCUGUUGAUCCCUCUGUGUGGAUUCAGUGCUCACGCAUGCAAUUCAUCGGGCCAGCCAAGCGCUGGAUCCAAUCUGUUACUGAUGACAUAAAAACCAUGCAGUGGUCUGAGUUCUGUCAGGCUUUACAUACUCGCUUUGAUCGCGAUCAACAUGAACUCCUUCUUCGCAAAAUGAACCGCAUCCACCAAACAUCCUAAGUCCAAGACUAUGUUGAUCGUUUUGCCGAGCUUGUAGAUCAGCUCAAAGCCUAUGAUUCUACAGCCAAAGCCUUGCCGCAUAUUACUCGCUUCAUUGAUGGCUUGCAUUCUGAAAUUCGUGCUGUUCUUCUUGUUCAACGUCCUACUUCGUUGGAUACUGCGUUUUCCUUGGCAUUAUUGCAGGAAGAGGCAGUGGAAUCCUCAAGACGUCGCGAUUCCAAGCCUUGGACCCAGAGGGGAGGCUAUUCUCGUGGGGAUCGUUCCAUCGGGUCGGAAAUUGACAAGCCAUCUACCAACCAGAAGCCUCUGGACAAGAAGCUGGUAGAUCUUAAGGCUUACCGCCGGGCCCGAGGCCUCUGUGAUCAUUGUGGUGAAAAAUGGAGUCGGGAUCACAAAUGUGCUGCCAAGGUUGGUCUCAAUGUGCUUGAUGAACUGUAUGCUCUGUUCACUGAGGAACAUCCUGAUGAUGGCGACAUACCAGAUGAGGAGCCGUCUGGUAAUGAUGCACAAUGCUGUUAUGUGUCAGGAGUUCCUUCAGCCGGUUCGGGUAGCAAGACACUGCAAUUUCAGGGCCUCUUUAUGCAGCAACCUGUGUUGAUUUUGUUGGAUUCGGGCAGUUCCACUUCUUUUAUCAGUACCCAGUUGGUCUCGCAGUUGUCUCUUAGACCAUCUCAAUGUCAACCUUUUUCGGUCAGAGUGGCUAAUGGAGCAAUCAUGCCAUGUUCAACAAUGGUGUCUGGAGCAGUCUGGAACAUCCAACAGUAUCAGUUUACACAUGACUUCAAAGUGUUACCCCUACCACAGUAUGACUUCAUUUUGGGGAUGGACUGGUUGCAGUUGUUCAGUCCUAUGAAGGUUGAUUGGAAGAAUCAGUGGCUCAAUAUUCCAUAUCGAGGUCAAAAUGUUCGCCUACAGGGAGUGUCAGCAACCUCUAAGGAGCCUACACAAUUUAUGGUUCAGAUUUUCAGUAUGACUUCUUCUGAACCUGUGCAAUAUGUGGAUAUUCCACAAAAGAUCAGUGAACUGUUAGCUGAAUUUCCUGACAUUACCAAUCCACCUGUGUCGUUACCUCCCAAGCGACAUUGUGAUCAUGAGAUUCCUCUCGUGGAAGGCGCAAGACCGGUGAAUGUGAGGCCUUACCGCUACCCACCUGCUCUUAAGGAUGAGAUUGAGGCUCAGGUGGCCUCUAUGUUACAGCAAGGAAUUAUUCAGCACAGCACGUCGCCAUUCAACUCACCAGUUCUCCUUGUCCGCAAGAAAGAUGGUUCUUGGCGAUUCUGUGUGGACUACAGAUACCUGAACAACUUGACUGUAAAGACUGCCUUUCCAAUUCCGGUCUUCGAACAGUUGAUGGAUGAAUUGGCUGGUGCUCGUUAUUUCUCUACCUUGGAUCUUCUAUCCGGCUACCACCAGAUUCGGCUUCGUGAAGGUGAAGAAUAUAAAACAGCCUUUUCGACUCAUGUCGGUCAUUAUGAGUUCCGUGUGGUGGCGUUCGGACUCACGGGUGCACCAGGCACCUUCCAGGGCGCUAUGAACACUACCCUACAUCCUCUUCUACGUCGGUGUGUCAUUGUAUUUUUCGAUGACAUCCUCAUUUACAACAAGACUAUGGAGGAGCACCUUGACCAUCUGCGUCAAGUGUUCCAGCUGUUGGCUCAGGAUCAGUGGCAUAUUAAGCUUUCUAAAUGCAAGUUUGGUCAGACAAGCAUAUCAUAUUUGGGCCACGUCAUCAGUGAAAAUGGGGUUGCCACAGAUCCAGCGAAGAUUGCGGCAGUGGUUUCUUGGCCUACACCCUCCAAUGUCAAAGAAUUGAGAAGUUUCUUAGGAUUCUCUGGCUUUUAUCGACGUUUCGUCAAACAUUAUGCCAUCAUCGCCAAGCCAUUAACUACUCUUUUGAAGAAACACUCCCUUUUUCACUGGACUUCUGUUCAUGAGACUGCAUUCAAUACUCUUAAGCAUAGUCUGUGUGCUGCUCGAAUUCUGAAACUUCCGAUUUUCACUCGGCAGUUCUGUAUUGAAACCGACGCCUCCCACAAUGGAGUCGGUGCAGUCCUCUUGCAAGAUGGACAACCCCUGGCGUUCCUCAGUCGCGCUCUUGGUCCCAAAAAUCAGGGUCUCUCUGCAUAUGAGAAGGAAUACAUGGCCAUCCUCAUCGCCGUUGAACAGUGGCGUUCUUACUUACAGUUGGGAGAAUUUAUCAUUUUCACUGAUCAACGAAGCCUUGUCCAUUUGUCUGACCAAAGAUUGAACACUACCUGGCAGCAGAAGGUUUUCACUAAGCUGUUGGGACUUCAGUACCGGAUUGUGUACAAACCAGGCACAGAAAAUAGGGUAGCCGAUGCUCUUUCUCGUCGUGGCUCUCAACCUGAGUUGCUUGCAAUUUCUGUUCCAGUGCCUUUAUGGCUUGAUGAGAUCAAAGCUAGUUAUGAAUCUGAUAGCAAAUGCCAGAAUCUGUUAGCCAAGCUGUCUGUUAAUCCUACUGCUGACCCAAGCUUCAAGUUGCAUCAAGGGUUGCUGCGCUAUAAGGGCCGAAUUUGGGUUGGCAACGACACAGUUCUCCAGCACAAGAUCAUUGAGGCUUUGCACGAUUCUCCGGUGGGGGGGCACUCUGGUAUUCCAGCAUCGUACCAACGCAUCAAAGGCUUAUUUGCAUGGUCUGGCCUCAAAACCGCUGUUCACCAGUUUGUACAUUCUUGUCCAACCUGCCAACAAGCCAAGCCGGACAGAGCUAAGUACCCUGGUCUUCUCCAGCCAUUAUCUGUUCCUUCCAUGGCUUGGCAAAGCAUUUCCAUGGACUUUGUCGAAGGCUUGCCGCCAUCUGCUGGAAACAAUUGCAUUCUGGUGGUUGUUGACCGUUUCUCCAAAUACGGUCAUUUCAUUCCCCUGCACCAUCCGUUCACAGCACUGCAGGUUGCAAAGUCGUUCCUGAAUAGUGUAUAUCGUUUGCAUGGGUUGCCAUCCUCCAUUAUUUCUGAUCGCGACCGCAUAUUCACUAGUCAGUUGUGGCAAGAACUCUUUCGGUUGGCUGGAGUUUCCCUGAAAAUGUCAUCAGCAUACCAUCCACAAACGGAUGGCCAAACUGAGCGGGUGAAUCAAUGUUUGGAAACCUUCUUACGGUGCUUUGUCAGUUCCACCCCCACUAAAUGGACUGACUGGAUUUAUUUGGCUGAAUACUGGUACAACACGUCUUGGCAUUCUUCCUUGGGAUAUUCUCCGUUCUUUGUGUUGUAUGGUCGCAACCCAAGGCAUUUUGGUAUUUCUGACAAUGAGGCUGUUCAUUCUCUGUCUUUGGAUGAUUGGUUAAAGGAAAAGUCUCUGAUGAACACCCUAGUGCAGCAGCACCUGAGCAGAGCUCAAAAGAGGAUGAAGUCUCAAGCCGAUAAACACCGUUCGGAGCGCGAGUUCGCAGUUGGGGACUGGGUCUACCUGAAGCUCCAACCUUAUGUCCAAUCUUCAUUGGCUCUGCGCGCUAACCAGAAAUUAGCAUUCAAGUUUUUUGGUCCAUUUCAGGUGCUUUCUCGGAUUGGUUCCGUGGCAUACAAGCUGCUCCUUCCAGCGGCAUCUUCAAUUCAUCCCGUCUUCCACGUCUCCCAACUCAAGACAGCACUUCCUGCUGAUCACACAGUGUCGCCACUUCCCCAGGAUUUGGCAGGUCUCCAGAUUCCAUUGAAGGUGCUCCAACGUCGAAUUCGUACGUCCGACAACAAUGUCGUACCUCAGGUGCUCAUUCAGUGGUCCAACCUUCCACGCUCUCUGGCCACAUGGGAAGACCUGGAGGCAAUCAAGCAACGUUUUCCAAGAGCUCCUGCUUGGGGACAAGCAUCUUCUCUACAGGGGGAGAAUGUCAGCAGCGAGACAGGGUCUGGUGGAGGAGACACGGACAUCGUGCAGCCAGCCGGACCAAGUGUGUCUCAGCCCAGACAAAGCGGUCGAGCAAGGCGUGCCAACGUUCUGAUCAGUGGGCCAGAGUGGGCAUGAGCCAUAGCGUAUCGCAGCUGCGUCUGCGGGCUCACGCCGGGCAUGACGCCCAUGUAUAAGAACCUGAGACCCGUGAGGAAGAGGUCUUAACAAAUAUAUGAACAUGAACAAUGUUAAGAUUCGUCCUAGCUACCUUUCGUGUUCUGCUUCCCUUCCCAAUUCCCUGCUGAUCCUUCCCAAAACUCUACCGAUUUCUACUCCUUCUCUGCUGCUAGAUCUCUGAUGCUAACAGGCUGCAGCUCUGUAACUAUAGUUUACUGUACAAUGAAUCAAAGAAGCCGCAGCUGUACCAAGCCAUUCUUCGUCUACGAAUGAAGAGUAACGUGACUCACUGGAGUGAAAAAAGAGAACUAAUUAGAUAGUUUAUUUUCUUUGCCAGAAAAUAAACUUCCUAUCUGGAUGACA
rnacentral:lncRNA from 1 species